rnacentral:rRNA from 1 species
GACGAACGCUGGCGGCGUGCUUAACACAUGCAAGUCGAACGGAAAGGCCCUGCUUUUGUGGGGUGCUCGAGUGGCGAACGGGUGAGUAACACGUGAGUAACCUGCCCUUGACUUGGGGAUAACUUCAGGAAACUGGGGCUAAUACCGGAUAGGAGCUCCUGCUGCAUGGUGGGGGUUGGAAAGUUUCGGCGGUUGGGGAUGGACUCGCGGCUUAUCAGCUUGUUGGUGGGGUAGUGGCUUACCAAGGCUUUGACGGGUAGCCUGCCUGAGAGGGUGACCGGCCACAUUGGGACUGAGAUACGGCCCAGACUCCUACGGGGGGCAGCAGUGGGGAAUAUUGCACAAUGGGCGGAAGCCUGAUGCAGAAACGCCGCGUGCGGGAUGACGGCCUUCGGGUUGUAAACCGCUUUCGCCUGUGACGAAGCGUGAGUGACGGUAAUGGGUAAAGAAGCACCGGCUAACUACGUG